rnacentral:rRNA from 1 species
UACCAAGCUACGAAGAGCCAAUGGUGAAUGCCUUGGCGCCGAACACCGAUGAAGGACGUGAUAGGCUGCGAUAAGCCACGGGGAGCCGCCGAAUAGGCUUUGAUCCGUGGAUAUCCGAAUGGGGAAACCCGGCACCUUUUAUCGGGUGUCACUCCUGCCUGAAUCUAUAGGGCAGGUAGAGGGAACGAGGGGAAUUGAAACAUCUCAGUACCCUGAGGAAAAGAAAGCAACAGCGAUUCCCGGAGUAGCGGCGAGCGAAAUGGGAAGAGCCUAAACCGAAUCCGGUGGUAAAGCCUGGUGGCGUUGCCGGAUCGGUGUUGUGGGACAUCCCCGACCGAGCACCAGAUCGGUCAAGGAGUUACAAAGCAGGCAGAUAGCGGAACCGUACAGGAAAGGCGGGCCGCAGAGGGUGACAGCCCCGUACGCGAAAUCUGCUUGCCUCCUGGGAUUGCUCCCGAGUAGCGCCGGUUCCGUGAAGGCCGGCGUGAAUCUGCGAGGACCACCUCGUAAGGCUAAAUAUGUGUCGGCGACCGAUAGCGAACUAGUACCGUGAGGGAAAGGUGAAAAGUACCCCGGGAGGGGAGUGAAAUAGUACCUGCAACCAUUGGUUUACAAGCAGUUGAAGCGCUACUGGGCACUUGUGUCCAAGCGCGACAGCGUGCCUUUUGAAGAAUGAGCCAGCGAGUUACGGUGUGUGGCAAGGUUAACCAGUGAUGGGAAGCCGGAGCGAAAGCGAGUCCGAAUAGGGCGCACAGUCGCAUGCUGUAGACCCGAAGCCGUGUGAUCUAUCCAUGGGCAGGGUGAAGCGGAGGUAAGACUCCGUGGAGGCCCGAACCGACCUAGGUUGAAAACUGGGCGGAUGACCUGUGGAUAGGGGUGAAAGGCCAAUCAAACACGGUGAUAUCUGGUUCUCCCCGAAAUGCAUUUUGGUGCAGCGUCGCACGUUCAGCCAUGGAGGUAGAGCACUGAUUGGGCUAGGGGGCCCACAAGCUUACCGACCCCAGUCAAACUCCGAAUGCCAUGGCUCCAGAGUGCGGCAGUGAGUCCACGGGGGAUGAGCUUCGUUGGACGAGAGGGAAACAGCCCAGAGCGCCGGCUAAGGCCCCUAAGUGUGUAUUAAGUGGCAAACGAUGUGGGAUUGCCCAGACAGCCAGGAGGUUGGCUUAGAAGCAGCCACCCUUGAAAGAGUGCGUAACAGCUCACUGGUCGAGUGGUCCUGCGCGGAUAAUGUAACGGGGCUAAAUACACCGCCGAAGCCGCGCCUUUGAGUUCGCUUUCGAGCGAGCUUGAGGGGUAGGGGAGCGUCGUGCCUGCAGCGAAGCCGGAGCGUGAGCGCCGGUGGAGCGGGUCCGAGUGAGAAUGCUGGCAUGAGUAGCGAGAGAGGGGUGCGAAUCCCCUCCGCCGUAAGCCCAAGGGUUCCUGGGGAAGGCUGGUCCUCCCAGGGUUAGUCGGGAGCUAAGGCGAGGCCGAGAGGCGUAGUCGAUGCACAACCGGUUGAUAUUCCGGUACCACCGCGUGCGCGCCCAGUCCAAAAUGCGGUUGCUAAGGGGCUGUCCUCCCUUCGGGGAACGACGAACCGACCCACCGCACCGAGGACAGCAAUGAGGGGACGCAGGAGGAUAGGUGAACCCAGGCGAUGGUAGACCUGGGGUAAGCGAGUAGGACGGGGACUAGGUAAGUCCGGGCCCCAUAAAGUCCGAGACGCGAUGCCGAGCCGCUACAGGCGAAGUCAUUGAUUCCAUGCUGCCUAGAAAAGCCUCUAGCGAGUUCACGUGGUGCCCGUACCUAAACCAACACAGGUAGGCAGGUAGAGCAUACUCAGGCGAACGGGAGAACUGUGGUUAAGGAACUCGGCAAAUUGCAUCCGUAACUUCGGGAGAAGGAUGACCCUGCGAUGGUGACGGCACUAGCUGCCCGAGCCGGAGAGGGUGGCACAAAAUAGGGGAAAGCGACUGUUUACUAAAAACACAGCAGCGUGCGAAGUCGUAAGACCAUGUAUACGCUGUGACGCCUGCCCGGUGCCGGAAGGUUACGGGGAACGGUUAGCUCUUCGGAGCGAAGCUGUGAACCUAAGCCCCGGUAAACGGCGGCCGUAACUAUAACGGUCCUAAGGUAGCGAAAUUC